GCUGAACGCUGGCGGCGUGCCUAAUACAUGCAAGUCGAGCGAAGCGGGGACGGGUGAGUAACACGUGGCUAACCUCCUCUAAGACUGGGAUAACUUCGUGAAACCGGAGCUAACCCGGAUACUUAUCGAUGGAUCCGCGCUGCAUUAGCUAGUUGGUAAGGUUACGGCUUACCAAGGCAACGAUGCAUAGCCGACCUUCGAGGGUGAGCGGCAACACUGGAACUGAGACACGGUCCAGACUUCUACGGGAGGCAGCAGUAGGGAAUCUUCCGCAAUGGGCGAAAGCCUGACGGAGCAACGCCGCGGGAGUGAUGAAGGUCUUCGGAUCGUAAAACUCUGUUAUUAGGGAAGCGGUACCUAAUCAGAAAGCCACGGCUAACUACGUGCCAGCAGCCGCGGUAAUUC
rnacentral:rRNA from 1 species